GAUCAUGUGGCCGAACGGUUACGGCGAUGGACUGCUAAUGCAUUGGGGGUUUCCUCGCGUGAGUUCGAAUCUCAUCAAAAUAA
rnacentral:tRNA from 1 species